rnacentral:rRNA from 1 species
AUUGAACGCUGGCGGCAGGCCUAACACAUGCAAGUCGGACGGUAGCACAGAGAGCUUGCUCUUGGGUGACGAGUGGCGGACGGGCGAGUAAUGUCUGGGAAACUGCCCGAUGGAGGGGGAUAACUACUGGAAACGGUAGCUAAUACCGCAUAACGUCGCAAGACCAAAGUGGGGGACCUUCGGGCCUCACACCAUCGGAUGUGCCCAGAUGGGAUUAGCUAGUAGGUGGGGUAAUGGCUCACCUAGGCGACGAUCCCUAGCUGGUCUGGGAGGAUGACCAGCCACACUGGAACUGAGACACGGUCCAGACUCCUACGGGAGGCAGCAGUGGGGAAUAUUGCACAAUGGGCGCAAGCCUGAUGCAGCCAUGCCGCGUGUAUGAAGAAGGCCUUCGGGUUGUAAAGUACUUUCAGCGGGGAGGAAGGCGGUGAGGUUAAUAACCUUGCCGAUUGACGUUACCCGCAGAAGAAGCACCGGCUAACUCCGUGCCAGCAGCCGCCGUAA